rnacentral:rRNA from 1 species
UACGGAGGAUCCAAGCGUUAUCCGGAUUCACUGGGUUUAAAGGGUGCGUAGGCGGAAAAAUAAGUCAGUGGUGAAAUCCUAUAGCUUAACUAUGGAACUGCCAUUGAUACUGUUAUUCUUGAGUAUAUUUGGAGUGGGCGGAAUGUGUUGUGUAGCGGUGAAAUGCUUAGAUAUAACACAGAACACCAAUCGCGAAGGCAGCUCACUAAACUAUAACUGACGCUGAGGCACGAAAGCGUGGGGAUCAAAC